GAUGAACGCUGGCGGCGUGCCUAAUACAUGCAAGUCGAGCGAAGCGGGGACGGGGGAGUAACACGUGGAUAACCUCCUAUAAGCCCGGGAUAACGUCGGGAAACCGGAGCUAAACCGGAUACUUAGAGAUGGAUACGCGACGCGUUAGCUAGUUGGUCAGGUAACGGCUUACAAAGGCAACGAUGCGUAGCCUACCUGAGAGGGUGAUCGGCCACACUGGAACUGAGACACGGUCCAGGCUCCUACGGGAGGCAGCAGUAAGGAAUCUUCCGCAAUGGGCGAAAGCCUGACGGAGCAACGCCGCGUGAGUGAAGAAGGUUUUCGGAUCGGAAAACUCUGUUAUUAGAGAAGCGGUACCUAAUCAGAAAGCCACGGCUAACUACGUGCCAGCAGCCGCGGUAAUUC
rnacentral:rRNA from 1 species